UACAGAGGGGGCAAGCGUUGUUCGGAAUUACUGGGCGUAAAGGGCGCGUAGGCGGCCGCCUAAGUCAGACGUGAAAUCCCUCGGCUCAACCGGGGAACUGCGUCUGAUACUGGGUGGCUUGAAUCCGGGAGAGGGAUGCGGAAUUCCAGGUGUAGCGGUGAAAUGCGUAGAUAUCUGGAGGAACACCGGUGGCGAAGGCGGAUCUCUGGGCCGAUACUGACGCUGAGGAGCGAAAGCGUGGGGAGCGAACAGG
rnacentral:rRNA from 1 species